UAUUUUAUGGAACAUACUUGUACUAAAAAUUACUCAGCAUUCAUCUGAAAUUGGUUGUUCUCUAAUUUUACUUGUGAAAUCCGGCAAGCCUGCCCUCCCAGACAAACACCGUGGCCUGGCUCUCAAAACUCAGUCGAAGGAAAGGCCAGCUGAUGGCUAUGCCUUUGAGCCAGCGGACCUGCGUUAAGGUGCUGUGCUCCAGGAAUGGAGACAUCUCUGAGCUGCCUCCUUCACUGGCUGGAAAGUGGAGAGGUCCCUUCUUGGCUCUGUCUCUGUGGGUGGUAGCUGGAGGGAACAGACAGGGCAAGUCUGGCCAUUUGGGAUCAGCUGGAUGGGAGAGGUGAAGCAGAAGACACAGAUCACCUGGGAGGCUCAAGAGUGGUUGUCUCUACACCCUUGAACUUUCAGGAGCUUGUCUGAUGGAAAUGACCCAAAGCAACAGGUGAACCCACCAUUCCCUCUCAUUUGAAGCUACCCUUGGGGACACUGCUGACUUCAUCAGUCAUCUAACAAAUCUCUUCCUGACCACCAAGACCCGAGCAGCUUUUCCUCCACCAGACCUUUCCAACAUGCCCUUCCUGCCUGGGAGCCACUGGACUAAACCAACUAUGGUUGGAGCCAACUAUGGACUAAAGACUCUAAAACCCAUACGCCAAAAUACACCUUUCCUCCUUUAAGUUGUGAGUGCCGGCAUUUUGUUCCAGCAACAUGGAGAGGGUUAAAUCCGAUGGCCAUUCCUUCAGACCACCAACCCUUUCCCCUACCUUGUUGCUGUCACCAACAACCUCUGAGUUUUUUCUCUUAAACAGUUCAGCGAAGACUUUUUCAAAAUGAUGUUUUCAAAAUUUCAGGUGUAGAAAUAGACAUUUAUCAAAGAUUUGAAAAAUAUAAAGAGUAUGAAGAAGAAAAUACAAAUAACCUCAUAAUCUCAUGCAGGAACAACAAUUAUUGGUGCUGAAUAAAUUUCCUUCCAGACUUC